rnacentral:rRNA from 1 species
AUUGAACGCUGGCGGCAGGCCUAACACAUGCAAGUCGAACGAGUGGCGGACGGGUGAGUAAUGUCUGGGAAACUGCCUGAUGGAUGGGGAUAACUACCGGAAACGGUUGCUACUACCGCCUAGCUUCAGCUGUGCCCAGAUGGGAUUAGCUAGUGGUUGGGGUAAUGGCUCACCUAGGCGACGAUCCCUAGCUGGUCUGAGAGGAUGACCAGCCACACUGGAACGGAGACACGGUCCAGACUCCUACGGGAGGCAGCAGUGGGGAAUAUUGGACAAUGGGCGCAAGCCUGAUGCAGCCAUGCCGCGUGUGUGAAGAAGGCCUUCGGGUUGUAAAGCACUUUCAGCGGGGAGGCGUUACUCGCAGAAGAAGCACCGGCUAACUCCGUGCCAGCAGCCGCGGUAAUUC